GAUAGAGUUCUGUCAUGUAACGAUUUUAUACUUGUGCACAGCUCUGCAUUUGCAGGUCUCAGCUGCAGUCUGCCAGAGACAGAAAUGCCAGCAUGAAAAAAUUAAAAACAAUUUUCCUAAUGUUUCUGAACUGCUUGGAAUUUAGAAGAACUGUAAAUCUUACAAGACUGGGUGGUCUCAGGAGGUAUGGGCAAUUCAGGUGCUCUCAGAUCUCUCUUUUGUCCUCUGAAUGUAGAAAUCUACUUACCCCGGCUCAAAGUCCUGUCAGAACCUGCUUUGCUUGGAGCUUAAUUGGCCUAGGAACACUUGAAAAAACUCGCAAGGCCCUGGGUAAAAAGGAAUGGUAUCUUGAAAUCCUCUUCUACCUGUUCAAUCCCUUUCUCAUCUAAAUAACUUCAGCUCUAAAUAAACUGUCAUUA
rnacentral:lncRNA from 1 species